UUGCCCACCAAGAUCCCAUACCUAAAGACAACAUAUCAUAAAAGUAAACAUCGCCUCAAAUAUUCGAUUGCCAGUGUCCAACAGUUAGUUUUUGACAGGAAACAAUUCAAACUUUAGUAAGUUUAGUUACGUUUAUAUUCAUCAUUGAGUUUUGACAUAUAAGAACACAUGCAGAUUGUCAUAA